GCCAGGUAUAAACAGGGUUGCUGGCUGUUAAAGAUGGUAAAUAUUAAAGGUAGAGUGAGAGAGAGUUAGUACGCAACAUCAUUUGUCAGACGAGGAUAGCGAUUGCCAGCUUUACGACACUUUAAAGCCACUGCGCAUGCGUCAAACGCUAAUGUUCUCAAUUGAAUAGCUGCGACAUUAUUAUACUAACUCCGCUGUUUUGGAGCUACUGUUUGCACCGUUGGUUUUUACUCUUUCGAUUUACAUAUAUGAUAAUAUAUUUUCUUAAUUUAGUAUAACGCUAUUAAAUUGGUCAAAAUAUUAAUUAAAUGUGGCAGAAAGUAUAGAGUCCGUCAAAAGUUGAUCCUAACCUUUAAUUCAUUUACUACUAAUCAAUAAAGCAAUGAUCUUCAUCAAUAUCUUUGGGCAAUUGGUUUACCAUUACAUUGGCUUAGAUUGAUACGUUACGAAUCAAAUAAGAAUAUCAGGUCAACGUUUUCAAGAGUAUUAAGAGUGUCGAAAGAG